rnacentral:rRNA from 1 species
GUGCCAGCAGCCGCGGUAAGACGGAGGGUGCUAGCGUUGUUCGGAAUCACUGGGCGUAAAGGGCGCGUAGGCGGCCGGAGGUGUCGGAUGUGAAAGCCCGGGGCUCAACCCCGGAGGUGCAUCCGCGACUCUUUGGCUGGAGGUCGGAAGAGGAGGGUGGAAUACCCAGUGUAGAGGUGAAAUUCGUAGAUAUUGGGUGGAACACCGGUGGCGAAAGCGGCUCUCUGGUCCGAACCUGACGCUGAGGCGCGAAAGCGUGGGGAGCAAACAGGAUUAGAUACCCGAGUAGUCC